rnacentral:rRNA from 1 species
UGGGGGAUAUUGCACAAUGGGCGAAAGCCUGAUGCAGCGACGCCGCGUGGGGGAUGAAGGCCUUCGGGUUGUAAACUUCUUUUGCUCUGAACAAGGCAUGCCUUUGGGGUGUGUUGAGUGUAGGGGUUGAUUAGCGCCGGCUAACUACGUGCCAGCAGCCGCGGUAAUACGUAGGGCGCGAGCGUUGUCCGGAAUUAUUGGGGGUAAAGGGCUUGUAGGUGGCUGGUUGCGUCUGUCGUGAAAGCUCAUGGCUUAACUGUGGGUUUGCGGUGGGUACGGGCUGGCUUGAGUGCAGUAGGGGAGGCUGGAAUUCCUGGUGUAGCGGUGGAAUGCGCAGAUAUCAGGAGGAAUACCGGUGGCGAAGGCGGGUCUCUGGGCUGUUACUGACGCUGAGGAGCGAAAGCGUGGGGAGCGAACAGG